AUACUUACCUGGCAGGGGAGACUGUGAUCAGAAAAGAUGUUCUCCCAUGGUGAGUCUAUCCCAUUGCAGUCUGGUUGUGCAGACGCAUGUGACGUCCCCAAAUGUGGGACACUCAACUUCAAAAUUUGCAUUAGUUGGGGACUGUGUUUGCCCUUUUUGGGC